UACAGAGGUCCCAAGCGUUGUUCGGAUUCACUGGGCGUAAAGGGUGCGUAGGCGGUCGGGUAAGUCUGAUGUGAAAUCUCACAGCUUAACUGUGUAACUGCAUUGGAUACUAUCCGGCUCGAGGAAUGGAGGGGAGACUGGAAUACUUGGUGUAGCAGUGAAAUGCGUAGAUAUCAAGUGGAACACCAGUGGCGAAGGCGAGUCUCUGGACAUUUCCUGACGCUGAGGCACGAAAGCCAGGGGAGCAAACGGG
rnacentral:rRNA from 1 species